rnacentral:lncRNA from 1 species
GAGUAAGGGAGAGAUGGGAUUUGAGCCAAGGUCUGCCUCUAGGUAUAAACCAAUAAGUAUCUGAGGCAAGUCUCAAUCCAUUUAUUAGGUUGGUGCAAAAGUAAUUGCAGUUUUUGCCAUUAUAAGUAAUGGAAAGUUUACUUUGCCAAGGUUAAGGACACACCUGUGACACAGACUCAGGAGUUCCUGAAGACGCGUGCCCAAGAUGGUUGAGGUACAGCUUCCUUUUAUACACUUUAGGGAGAUAUAACACAUCAAUCAAUUGAACCAUUUACAUUGGUUCAAUCUGGAAGGGUGGGACAACUCAAAGAGUGGGGUGCUUCUAGGUCAUAGGAAGAUUUAAACAUAUUCUGAUUGGCAAUUGGUUGAAAGACUUAUUAUCAUUAGAAAGAAAUGGCUGGGUUACAAUAGGGGUUGUGGAGACCUAGGUUUUAUAUCUCCAAGUAGCAGGCUUUAGAGAAAAUAGACUGUAAAUGUUUCUUAUCAGACUUAAAGUCUGUGUUGAUGUUACUGCUGGAAGGGUAUAAUGAGGCAUGUCCAACCCCUACUACCCAUCAUGGCCUCAACCAGUUAAAUUUUAGGGUGCCCUGGCAAAGGAAGGAGACCAUUCAUAUGGUGAGGAGGGCCUUCAACUUUUAUUUUUGGUUUACAUUCGCAAAGCAUGUGCUCUUUGCUUUAUACUAGGCUGCCUCCCUGCCAUGUUAGAAAGAUCUUCUGAAUUUAUAUGAGGUCAUGGUUUAGGUGGGAUUAGUCAGUUGUAUUUUCUCAUCAAUACAUGUAUUUUUAUUUUUAUUUUUUUUGAGAUGGAGUUUCAGUCUUGUUGCCCAGGCUGGUGUGCCAUGGUGCGAUCUUGGCUCACUGCAGCCUCCGCCUCCUGGGUUCAAACGAUUCUCCUGCCCCAGCCUCCUGAGUAGUUGGGAUUAUAGGCGCCUGCCAUCAUGUCUGGCUAAUUUUGUUUUUAAAUUAUUUUUAGUAGAAACACGGUUUCGCCAUAUUGGCCAGGCUGGUCUUGAACUCCUGACCUCAGGUGAUCUGCCCAUCUUGGCCUCCCAAAGUGCUGGGAUUACAAGUGUGAGCCGCUGUGCCUGGCCAAUACAUGUAUUUUCCAUUCAAUACAUAUGGGGGUUCAUUCUCUCACCCCUUAUCAGAACAGAGGUCAGGGAGGAGGGGAAUGGACCUGCAGGGUGAUGGAUUAGUAUGGGGAUUGCAAACUCCAUUCCCUACAGGGCAGUUAGGGUAAAAGGGGAAGUAAAAUUAGAGCAGGCGCAUACUGUCAACAGGGGCAGGAAUGUAGGAAUGUGGCCCACUGUUUUCAGAUAUCCCAAUUUGUUUAGGGGAGCCCAAAAUCUGGAUUUUAUCUUUCUUUGCAAAAUUGUUAAUUUUUUAUGUUGGGAACUAACUAGAAACUUUUUUUUUUUUUUUUGAGAUGGAGUUUCACUCUUGUCACCCAAGCUGGAGUGCAAUGGUGCGAUCUUGGCUCACUGCAACCUCCGCCUCCCAGGUUCAAGUGAUUCUUGUGCCUCAGCCUCCCAAGUAUCUGAGAUUACAGGCCUGAGCAACCAUGCCCAGCUAAUUUUUGUAUUUUUAGUAGAGACUGGGUUUUGCCAUGUCAGGCAGGCUGGUCUCAAACUCCUGACCUUAGGUGAUCCACCCACCUCGGCCUCUCAAAGUGCUGGGAUUACAGGUGGGAGCCACCAUGCCUGGCCCUAACUAAAAACAUUUUUAAACACUGUGCAGACUAAAUAAAUCUGUGGAGUCCAUAGGGUCCAGUUUUAGACCCCUGGCUGAGCUCUCCAAUGACAGAGUUUGUCUUCAGGGAAGCUUACCCUCAGUGGUGCUGAUUCUAUGGAAAGUCAAUCCUCAAGCUAAGAGGAAAUCCCUCCGGGCUGCAGCUAGGAAAAGGAGCAGGCCUUGGAUGGGGCACUUCUCUUUCCAUCUUCCUUCCCCAGCUAGUCUCACUGGGCCCAUCAGUCAACUUUCCAUGAUGAAUGUUUUGUUGGGUUCUGUUCCAUGGAGUUAAAGGAGCAUGGAGUGUCUCUCAUCACAGCCCCUUUUCUAGGAAAAUAAAUGGCCAACUCCCUGGAGUUGAGGAUUUUUUUAUGCAAUGACUUUCCUCCACGAGAUUUAUUGCAGCAGCUUUGUGAGAGAUUUGUAGUAAGUAGUGUUGAGGCUGUAGGUCUUAAAUCUUCAAUGCCACAGUCAUAACUCUCCAGGAAGGAAAUGAUAGAAGAUCACAGUAGCUAAUAUUGCAUUAUGAUGAUACUGCCUUCCCAGAAAUGAUUGCAGUCUUGCUGCUGCUGUCUUACUUAGGAAACAGGAGCUCUUCAAAUGUGCUUGAGAUGUCUGUCCUGGUGGUGCUUUGCACGAUCCAUGAGAAGCUACAGCCUGGAUUAUGUAUUGUUUCCUUUUUCCCCUUGAAUUUCACACACAUGAAAUUAUAGUCUAGAAGAGAACAGAUAAAACAUAGUUUUAUUGAGCA